AGUGAACGCUGGCGGUAGGCCUAACACAUGCAAGUCGAACGGCAGCACAGUAAGAGCUUGCUCUUACGGGUGGCGAGUGGCGGACGGGUGAGGAAUACAUCGGAAUCUACUUUUUCGUGGGGGAUAACGUAGGGAAACUUACGCUAAUACCGCAUACGACCUACGGGUGAAAGCAGGGGAUCUUCGGACCUUGCGCGAUUGAAUGAGCCGAUGUCGGAUUAGCUAGUUGGCGGGGUAAAGGCCCACCAAGGCGACGAUCCGUAGCUGGUGUGAGUGGAUGAUAAGCCACACUGGAACUGAGACACGGUCCAGACUCCUACGGGAGGCAGCAGUGGGGAAUAUGGGACAAUGGGCGCAAGCCUGAUCCAGCCAUACCGCGUGUGUGAAGAAGGCCUUCGGGUUGUAAAGCCCUUUUGUUGGGAAAGAAAAGCAGCAGGUUAAUACCCCGCUGUUCUGACGGUACCCAAAGAAUAAGCACCGGCUAACUUCGUG
rnacentral:rRNA from 1 species